GGCAGCGACGCUGAUGCGUUGUUGGGUAGGGGAGCGUUCUGUAAGCCUGCGAAGGUGGCCUGUGAGGGUUGCUGGAGGUAUCAGAAGUGCGAAUGCUGACAUAAGUAACGAUAAAGCGGGUGAAAAGCCCGCUCGCCGGAAGACCAAGGGUUCCUGUCCAACGUUAAUCGGGGCAGGGUGAGUCGACCCCUAAGGCGAGGCCGAAAGGCGUAGUCGAUGGGAAACGGGUUAAUAUUCCCGUACUUGGUGUUACUGCGAAGGGGGGACGGAGAAGGCUAUGUUGGCCGGGCGACGGUUGUCCCGGUUUAAGCGUGUAGGUGUGUGUUCCAGGUAAAUCCGGUUCACUUUAACACUGAGGCGUGAUGACGAGGCGCUACGGUGCUGAAGCAACAAAUGCCCUGCUUCCAGGAAAAGCCUCUAAGCAUCAGGUAACAUCAAAUCGUACCCCAAACCGACACAGGUGGUCAGGUAGAGAAUACCAAGGCGCUUGAGAGAACUCGGGUGAAGGAACUAGGCAAAAUGGUGCCGUAACUUCGGGAGAAGGCACGCUGACACGUAGGUGAAGUGAUUUACUCAUGGAGCUGAAGUCAGUCGAAGAUACCAGCUGGCUGCAACUGUUUAUUAAAAACACAGCACUGUGCAAACACGAAAGUGGACGUAUACGGUGUGACGCCUGCCCGGUGCCGGAAGGUUAAUUGAUGGGGUCAGCGCAAGCGAAGCUCCUGAUCGAAGCCCCGGUAAACGGCGGCCGUAACUAUAACGGUCCUAAGGUAGCGAAAUUCCUUGUCGGGUAAGUUCCGACCUGCACGAAUGGCGUAAUGAUGGCCAGGCUGUCUCCACCCGAGACUCAGUGAAAUUGAACUCGCUGUGAAGAUGCAGUGUACCCGCGGCAAGACGGAAAGACCCCGUGAACCUUUACUAUAGCUUGACACUGAACAUUGAGCCUUGAUGUGUAGGAUAGGUGGGAGGCUUUGAAGUGUGG
rnacentral:rRNA from 1 species